UAAGGAAUAUUGGACAAUGGAGGCAACUCUGAUCCAGCCAUGCCGCGUGAAGGAAUAAGGCCCUAUGGGUUGUAAACUUCUUUUAGACGGGACAAAACCCCUUUACGUGUAAAGGGUUGAUGGUACUGUCAGAAUAAGCAUCGGCUAACUUCGUGCCAGCAGCCGCGGUAAUACGAAGGAUGCAAGCGUUAUCCGGAAUUAUUGGGUUUAAAGGGUGCGUAGGCGGACUAAUAAGUCAGUGGUGAAAGCCUGCAGCUUAACUGCAGAAUUGCCAUUGAUACUGUUAGUCUUGAGUACAGUUGAGGUAGGCGGGAUGUGUCAUGUAGCGGUGAAAUGCUUAGAUAUGACACAGAACACCGAUUGCGAAGGCAGCUUGCUAAGCUGUAACUGACGCUGAGGCACGAAAGCGUGGGGAGCAAACA
rnacentral:rRNA from 1 species